UACGUAGGGUGCAAGCGUUGUCCGGAAUUAUUGGGCGUAAAGAGCUCGUAGGCGGUUUGUCGCGUCGGCUGUGAAAACUCGGGGCUCAACCCCGAGCCUGCAGUCGAUACGGGCAGACUAGAGUGCGGUAGGGGAGACUGGAAUUCCUGGUGUAGCGGUGAAAUGCGCAGAUAUCAGGAGGAACACCGGUGGCGAAGGCGGUUCUCUGGGCAUUACCUGACGCUGAGGAGCGAAAGUGUGGGGAGCGAACAGG
rnacentral:rRNA from 1 species